UAUGAUGCUCUGCAAGCUAUAUGCCGAUGUCACUAAAAAAUCUCAUCAAAAAACAAUCUUCUCAUUCUCGAACUUAUCUCAAAAAGCCCAGAAAUCAGAGAUCCAUCCAUGGCUGCAGCUUUCUCAGCUCUAGUAUCUCUCCAAAACAAUAUACUCCUUGUCGACAAUCACCCCAACCAUACCUUUCCCUUUGAGAAAGAACAAAUUAAUUCCCUUUCAAAUAAUGUUUUUUUCCUGUUGAAUUUCAUGGAAAGCUACGACAAUUCUCAUGGAUCCAGAAGAGAAACAGCAGAAGCUUUAGAGAUGCGAAUUGUGUGUGCAGCUCAAGUGGCUGAAGAUGUGAUCGAAGCACAUAUCCGUUGUGGAAACACUCGACCAUCUCGUUUCCUGCUGGAUCUGCACAAAGCAAUCCAAGGAAUGGAUUACAUGAGGAGAAAAGUAACCCAAAGAAUGGAUUACAUAAGGACAAAGACAUUAAACGUGAGAGUGCGAAGUGGAAUGUUGGAGCCGCCCACACAUUCAUCAACAACAGCCCAAUCAACGCCUCUUCUCACCUCUUCAAUGGUCGGAUUUGAUGAUUUCUUAAAUAAACUUCUGGAUCUGCUCAUCAGAGGUCCAUUGAGUCGGCGAGUCAUCCCCAUCGAAGGCAUGGGGGGAAUCGGUAAGACUACUCUUGCCAUAAAUGCAUAUAAAAAUCCAUAUAUCGUGCAACACUUUGAUGUUUGCCUUUGGGCAACAAUAUCUCAAGAGUAUAGCAUUCAGAAAGUUUUGGCACAACUCUUGUCUUGUAUGAGGGGAUCCACUACUGGAACAGUUGGUGAGGUGCGAGAAAGGUUAUACAAGAGUUUAUUCGGACUAAGGUAUUUGAUUGUUCUAGAUGAUAUGUGGAACCUCGAAGAUUGGGAUGAUAUGAAUGUGAAAUCCUUGUUUCCGGAUACAAACAAUGGAAGUCGAGUUGUUGUGACUACUAGGAAUGCGGAUGUAGCCAAUCACUUGGGCGAUCUUGUUGAAAUGGGUUUUCUGGAUGAGGACUAUAGUUGGCAUCUAUUUUGUCAAAAUGCAUUUGCAGAGCAACAAGGUUGCCCUUUAGAGUUGGAGGAAACUGCAAAGAAGAUAGUAGCACGGUGCAAAGGACUUCCCCUAGCAAUUGUUGUUGUCGGAGGCCAUUUCAGGAACUCCACAAUGGCUCUAUCCUACUGGGAGAAUGUAGCACAAUCAAUUUUGUAUUCUACAGAUAUCGAUGAGCAAUGCUUGAAUGUAUUAUCUUUGAGUUAUAGAUACUUGCCUGCUCAUCUAAAGCCAUGUUUCCUACUCCUUGGAGCAUUUCUAGAAGAUGAAGAGAUUAAUGUGAAGGAUGUUUUUAAACUUUGGAUCGCUGAAGGAUUUAUAGAACAUUUUGACGAUAUCAGAUUUGAAGAUGUUGCAGCGUAUUAUUUGUGGGAGCUUUUGAUGAGAAAUCUCAUAUUUGUGGUUAUGGUGGACUAUAUGGGAAACGUGCUUACAUUUAAAGUACAUGAUCUAGUAAGAGAAAUGUGCCAACAAACUGCCAAGAAAGAGAAGUUUUUACCUGUGUUUGAAACUUCAGGAACCAUGAUGAGGGAGCGUCAAAUUGUAAUCAAUAGAGAGGUGAAUAGUGAAACGAUAACCUUUGAUGCUCCAGUCCGUUGUCUGAUAUGCAACAAGGGUUGUUACGGUAUAAACAAUCUGUACAACUUGAAAUUGUUGAGAACAUUGAGUAAGGUUGUUUCGACAUUAACAAGUGAGUCUAUUUUUCAGCAAGUUAACUUGCGGUAUCUUAAAAUAUAUCUUGCUUAUAUCCCUAGCCAGGUUCUUCAUUAUCUUCCCUCGUCGAUAUCAUUGCUUUGGAAUCUGCAAACAUUAACAAUUAUUCUACCGGAUCAAUCAAAAGUGAUUGCACCUUAUGGGAUUUGGGAGAUGCUACAGCUUAGGCAUAUUGAGGUUGACACAAUUUGUCUCGUUGAUCCUCUUCCUGUGGAUGAAGCAAAUGAGUUGGUUAUGAGAAAUCUAUACACACUUUUGAAAGUGGAGAAUUUCAGGCUUAGUGAAGAGGUUUGCAAGAGAAUCCCCAAUGUCAGACAACUAGAGUUAUCCUAUUGUGAUGAAGUAAGUAGUUAUUACUGUCCCCGCAAUCUGGGCUGCCUCCAUCAGCUGCAAUACCUAUCAUUGAAGUUUGAUGGCAAUUCUAAGUGGCGUGAGUUUGCUAUGAGCCUCACUUUCCCAAGUUGUCUUCGGGAGCUGCGCUUAUUUAGUUGUGGUGUUGAUUGGGAAGAGUUGACAAUGAUGGUUGGAUCAUUGCCGCAUCUUGAAAAGCUUUCAUUGCUACAAAAUUCAGUCAUUGGAUCUGUUUGGACCCCUGUUGAGGGCAAAUUCUGUCACUUGAAAAUCUUGACUAUUGAUGGUUGUGGUGAUUUAGUUUGUUGGAAUGCUGACAACUCCCAUUUUCCAGUCCUCAAAUAUCUUUAUCUAAGAGAUUUGUGUAAAUUGAUAGAGUUUCCUUCAAGCCUAGGAGAAAUAGCAACGCUCGAACAGAUUGAGUUGAGAUUUUGCAGCGCAUCUUCAACCAUUUCAGCAAUGAGAACAUUGGUGGAACAAGAGGAGCUUGCUAAUGAAAGCCUUCAACUUAGUGUAUAUUUCCGGGGUGACGAGGAAACAAUGGAGAGCUUCAAGAAUGAGAUUCGAGAAGAGGGUCUCACCAGCAGUACUAAUCUUUCUCUGCGUCUCCUCAGUUCCUAAUAACUUCCACUCAUCUGCUCCUUGCAUCUCCAAGGACUCUGUGCUCUUCAAUCUGAAGCAAUAUUAAACGUGGAAGAAUAGCAAAUUAGGACAAUGAUGAGUGUGAAUCAGUUGCUGCACUUGAAGGACUUAUUGUUGAGAUCUCGGCCGUUGAAGUGACCUUGCUUAAUGAUCGACUCUCUCCUUCCUUUGCCAUAUGGUGUGGCCUGUGGGUUGCUGAUCAGGAUCUGGUCCAUUAACGUCACCCCAAGAUGUAUCCGAGGUCCGAUAUCCUUACUUUGUUCCUGUCUUCCCAAAUCCAACGCCGCCCCCCUCUCCCAAGACGACGUUCUCUCCGGUUUCAAGACACGUCGCUGCGACGAUAUGGAUCAACAUCAAGAAGAAGUUUGUUGCAUUUGCCUCGACAAUCUGUACCGAGGAUCGGUGACUACUCUCAACUGCCGCCAUGAGUUUCAUCCCAAUUCUUAGAUCUGAGCAGCAAGGACGUUGUCAAAGAAGAUAGUAGCACGGUGCAAAGGACUUCUUCCCCUAGCAAUUGUUGCUGUCGGAGGCCAUCUCAGGAAGUCCCCAACGGCUCUAGGCUACUGGGAGAAUGUUGCACAAUCAAUUUUGUAUCCUACAGAGAUUGAUGAGCAAUGCUUGAAUGUAUUAUCAUUGAGUUAUAGAUACUUGCCUGCUCAGCUAAAGCCAUGUUUCCUACUCCUUGGAGCAUUUCCAGAAGAUGAAGAGAUUUACGCGCAGGAAGUUCUUUAACUUUGGAUUGCUGAAGGAUUUAUACGACAUUUUGACAAUAUGAGCGUUAUAUCUAUGGGAGCUUUGUAAAAAGAAAUCUCAUACUAGAUAGACUAUAAGAGAGACAUACAUACAUACAUUCAAAGUACACGAUCUAGUAAGAGAAUUGUGCUUACACACUGGCAAGAAGAGAAGUUUUUAUCAGUGCUUGAAACAUCAUGAGCCAUAACUAGGGAGCGUCGGGUUGUAAUAAGUGGAGAGGUGAAUCAUGAAACAAUAACCUCUGAUGCUCCAGUCAGUUGUCUGAUAUGCAACAGAGGUCGUUACAAUCUGCAUGGCUUGAAACUGUUUGGAACAUUGAGUAAGGUGGUUGCUACGACAUCUAUAAGUGAGUCUAUUUUUCAGCAAGUUUAUCUUACCGUGGAUCUUGUUUA